UCUUCUUCCUCUUUCUUCUUUUCUUCUUCUGCUUCUGUCGUAGCUCCGGCGAUUAUGAAAGAUGAUUUUGAGGUUAAAAUCGAAGAGAAACUUAGGGUAAACAUUAGGAAUCGAUUUCUAGUGUUGAUGUUGAUGUUAAUUGAGCUCGGGAGGAAAAGGAAUUGAUGUUGUUGUAACUGAAAUUAGGGUUUUGAGAAUGAAUUUGAGUCUAUAGGUGAAUCGAUGAGUUAAUCGGGAUGUAGAUGGAUGAAGAUUAAAAAGGUUGACAUUAAUUGAAGUUGCAGAUUGUUUUGAUGUUUGAAUCAAGAAGUUAGGGUUUGAAUUAGGGUUCCUCUGGGUAAGAAUUAGGAAUUUGGAAUUCGUUUUAAUGGUGACUAAGAAGGAAUUGUAGAUGGGUUUUCUCUGAAUGAGGAUAAGGUUGAAGAAUUGAUGGUUGGGAUUAUGAUUCUGUUUGAGUAAAGAUUUUGGGAAUUGGAUGUAAUGAACUGUGGUUUAAGGGUUAGAUGGUGAUGAGCUGAGUCGAAUCAAUCUAAACAAGGGGUUGAUUUCAAUUGUGGGAGAAAGUCUUUUGAGAUAUUAGUGGUGGUUCUGCGUGGUGGUCGUGUGUUGCUGUGAACAAAAAGGACUUGAUUAUUAUGCUGUUGCUGUUAUAUUGUUGCUUGGUUGAUAUUUGAGUUGAAGUUGCAGGGAGGAGUUGAAUUAGUGGAUGGAUAUGAUAAAGCUAAUUGUGUUGGUGGUUUUGGAUAUGUAUUAGAGAUGAAUAUAGUUUGGUUGAACUACAAUUGGUUGUAGGUUAGGGUUAUGUUGUGAAUGGGUAUGGAUGAAUCUGUAAUAGAGAUUUAAUAGGAAUGAUGUGGUUUUUAUAACUGUGGUGGUAUUGUAGAAUGCAAGAAAGAAGUUUUAAAAGAUGUAUGUAUUGUUGUGUGUGUUGGUGGUCGACUGGAUAUGUAGCUGAGGUUAUUAUGGAGUUGCAGAUACUGGAGUUUAUUUUGCUAGUGGUAUUUCAGUUGAAGAAAUAGUUUUGCAGUUUGGGAAGACUAGUGAAUAAGUUGGUUUAGUUGUGAACCUGAAGUUACAAUUCAUGAAGAAUUGUGUUUAUAGAGUUGUAGAUAGUAAUUGAUGUGAAAAAGCUUAAAGCUGCAAUUGCUGGUAAGCAGAAUUUGUAUUUGUGAAUAAGUUUUAAAGUUGUUUUUAAAUGAAUGAAUUGUUUGGUAG